rnacentral:lncRNA from 1 species
CUUACAGUCCGUCUCAGCUCAACUUGGACACAUGCCGUCUUUUCUUCAUCCUCCUCUUCUUGAAAGGCUUGUUUAUUCAGCUGGAAAAUAGACGUUUUUCAGCAGAUUUUCUCUAUUCAGAAAUAGACUAAAGCUUCUGCUGGAGUCUGGCAUUAUCCCAGAGAAUGGAGACCCACGGGCCUUCAGCAGUGCACCGCCCUCAGGGAAGUCAUCCAGUUUGGGCAUCCUGACUCGGUUCUCCCACAGUGUCCUUCUCAUCUGCUGUAGCCGAGGUCAGGGAGAAGGCCCUGGGUGGUGUCUGGGCUGAGAGGGUCAAUUGUGCCACCUGCUUCAGACGCCCCAUGGGCUGGCGACUCUUCUGGUCUUUAGUGCUGACACCCACAGGCCUGGCUCACAGUGGGUGCUGGGUCAGGGCUGGUGGAGAACAAUAGUGCUGAGCCAGGACCCGCCCAUGUGUUAGAGAAAGGCAGCAGCUUGGAAACCUGUAGGUGGGUCUUCCAUCCACUAAGUCACCAAGAACUAGGAGCCUGCAGCCAGUUGAGAGGAUUCUUGAGGUGCUCUGCCCCCAGCUGGGGCCCUGAGCCCCCACGAGCCUUCCGCCUGGGGCAUCUGAUGACUCACGUGCACCACAGCACAGCAGCCCAGUGGGCUGGGAGUUGGGAGCUGGAAGAUGAAAGCCACCCACUCUUAUCUGCCUCCGAGGAGUCGCAAUCAAGAGGGAGGAUGCCCCCAUAAGAAAUGCAGAUUCUGUGACCUUCAGAGGCAGCUGGAGAAAGAAAAGAUGGAGGAGAUCACGGCCCAGCAAUUCCAGCCUGGGGCGGGCGCGGGCUCAAUGAUAUCCUUCAGGUCCUAAUCCCCGAGUGUGGCUGUGUGUGACCCGAGUCCCUUCUGCCUGCCAGGAGUGAGGCCACCUGAGGUCGCAGAAAGGACUGGGGAGGAGACAGGCGCAGGGUGAUCCGGAUCCCAUAUUUAAUUGAUGGCUGGCGAAGUACAGUGUUCUCCAGAAAUCCAGUGGUCUGCACCAUCAGUGUCCUGGGCUCGCUGCCUCUGGAGACUCCCACGCCCCCAGCCAAAGCCGGAACCCUCCCCUGAAGCCUCUGCCAUGGCCUGUCCUGCCUUGGGGAGGUGGAGACCCUCGGCGUGCUGGUGUCCCACCUCACUGUGCCUCUCAGCUUCUUUGUUUCUGCCCAAAAUACAGGCUCCUGAGUAGCCUCCUGUGGGUGUCCUGGGACUGUCACCUGCCCUCUUUCAGCCAGGUGGGCUCAAACGUCAGGGGCACCAUCUCUGGUCCAGAUUGGGGUCUCUCUCGGUUCAUUUAUCCAGGAUCUUUUGGCAAAAAGAGAAAGACCAAGGAUUAUCCCCUUUCAGGAGAGCUCAGCCUGCUUUUUCGGGCUCUUCAAGGCCCAUCCAUUCAUGCACGGAGAAAUAACACGAAUGCUGGUGUGGAAAUGAUGCCCGGAUACCUUUCCAAAGGCUCCAUAGCCCACUCUUCCAGUAUCCAUCCUGGUCAUGCAGGCGCUGACCCACAUGUUUCUGGAUUAGGAAGGAAAGCAAAGGCCAGGAGGCGGAGGCUGACCCCUUUAUCUUCUGAUAAACCCGAGAGCAGAACAGCCUCAACAAGGACGAUUACAGCAGGGAAAUGGCAUUCCUGGCCAGUGGACAAGCACCUCCUUUAACCUACAGCUCAGAGCCUCACUUUGACUUGCCUCCUGUGGGGUGCUGGUCAGUAGGGGCUGAAUUCUGGGGUGCUAGGCAUCCCUCCACCAUGCAGGCCCCACAAAAGCAGCCGAGGAGGGAGAGUGCUAGGAAGCAGACAGCCACACAGACCACUGGGCUCCAUCAGGCCUCUCACUGCAGGAAGCACAGGCCAGCAAGGCCAGAGUUAAUUUCUCAGAAUAAUUGCUAAUAAUACAAAUCAACCUUUCUGGGCACUGAGUACACACCAGGCCCUGUGCUAAGCGCUUCUAACCUAAGCGUCACCUCAUUGCCUGCUAAUACCCUCUCUAGGAAAUAGGGACUACUAUAAGUCCUGCCCACAGACAUGAAAACCACAGCUGUGGGUUGACCCUCUCUGCGUCUGUAUCUAAUACUGCACCUGUUUUCUAUGAAAUCAGGACAAUAUGAUUCAUAGGGCAAAAUGAUUAUUUGUUACACAUGGAGAAAAACAAAAGCUCAAAGUAUGUUUUCUGAAGGAGAAACAAAAUCCAGACAUUUUCCAAGCUUCAAGUGUGAAUAUACUUACAUGGAUGAAAGAUUUAAAGAAUAACAAUAAAAAACCCUUAAUGGUAAAAA